GACGAACGCUGGCGGCGUGCUUAACACAUGCAAGUCGAACGGAGAGGCCCUGCUUUUGUGGGGUGCUCGAGUGGCGAACGGGUGAGUAUCACGUGAGUAACCUGCCCUUGACUUUGGGAUAACUUCAGGAAACUGGGGUUAAUACCGGACAGGAGCUCCUUCUACAUGGUGGGGGUUGGAAAGUUUCGCCGGUUGGGGAUGGACUGGCGGGUUAUCGGUUUGUUGGUGGGUUAGUGGUUUACCAACGCGUCGACGGGUUGCCGGCCUGAGGGGGUGAACGGGCACAAUGGGACUGAGAGACGGCCCAGACGCCUACCGGAGGCAGCAGUGGGGAGUAUUGCACAACGGGCGGACGCCUGAUGCAGCAACGCCCCGUGCGGGAUGACGGCCUUGGGGUUGUAAACCGUUGUCGGCUGUGACGAAGCGUGAGUGACGGUAAUGGGUAAAGAAGCACCGGCUAACUACGUGG
rnacentral:rRNA from 1 species